rnacentral:rRNA from 1 species
UCUGGGUCACCUCCCACCCGUGUUUAUUGUACCUUGUUGCUUCGGUGCGCCCGCCUCACGGCCGCCGGGGGGCUUCUGCCCCCGGGCCCGCGCCCACCGAAGACACCAUUGAACUCUGUCUGAAGAUUGCAGUCUGAGCAUAAACUAAAUAAGUUAAAACUUUCAACAACGGAUCUCUUGGUUCCGGCAUCGAUGAAGAACGCAGCGAAAUGCGAUAACUAAUGUGAAUUGCAGAAUUCAGUGAAUCAUCGAGUCUUUGAACGCACAUUGCGCCCCCUGGUAUUCCGGGGGGCAUGCCUGUCCGAGCGUCAUUGCUGCCCUCAAGCACGGCUUGUGUGUUGGGCUCCGUCCCCCCGGGGACGGGCCCGAAAGGCAGCGGCGGCACCGAGUCCGGUCCUCGAGCGUAUGGGGCUUUGUCACCCGCUCUGUAGGCCCGGCCGGCGCCAGCCGACAACCCAUCAUCCUUUCAGGUGACCUCGAUCAGUAGAU